rnacentral:lncRNA from 1 species
UAAUGGUGAACUUACUAUUAGGAGUGGAUAUAAUGUUCACAUAAAGGAAUCUUGGGAUCAACGACCGCAUUUGGUUGGUUAUUCGAAACGUGGAGGGGCUACAAAGAAACGACGCCAGUUUGUUUAAUAUGUGGAUACAGCUUGGAGAGGUAUUACUGCGGAUACAGCUUGUUUAAUAUGUGGUUAUGCUUUACAUAUGCUCGGAGAUUGCCAGUUUGGUCGAGAGGUCAGGCUCUAUGUUCUCCCAUCUCAUGCGAUACACAAUCUUUUCUUCAUACUUCUGGUUUCACCUAGUUUUUCUUAGUUGGGGUUAGUAUUAUAAUUUUAGUUGACAUGAUCAGACAUCUCUGUGAGAUCUGGGUUUUUUGUAUGAAUAUGAACAUUUGGAACCUUGCAUGUAUAAUGUUGCUCUAUCGUAUCAGCCUCAUUCCUACUCCAUUUUCUGUUUUGAAUUUGAUGUACUAGUAUGCAUUAGUGUAGCAAAUUAGCAUUUGCAAUACAUAUAUUGUCGCAGGAACUGUUGUUUAUCGAUAAAACUUUGCAGAAUAGCUAAAUUAUCAUUUGAUUUCAUUCUUCAAGAUAGUGAAGGGGUAAUCCACUUUUUGAGCUUA